UGGAAUCCCAAGUUGUAUGUGAUGGGUUCCCCCUGGGGUGCCACUGAGCCCCCUGGCCCACCAGCCUGGGCUCCCUCUCACACUAUACUGCUGUGACAAACUGCAAAGCCCUCAAUCCUGCACUUUCAUCAGCAUACAUACAGGUAGGGACACAACCAUCCGCAGUUACAUGCAGGCUCUCUAACAACCAGCUUCCGAGACUGGGACCUCAGAGCAGUACCAUCCUGCCCUGGGCAAAUCUGAUCAGUAUAUGGGUUUAAUACAUAGUCCGCCUCUCACUCAAUAUGAAGAGAACAAUGCACGCUUGUGGUAACCAAGCAGAGAUUUUCCCCAAGCACUCCAGUCAAAACUCACUGGUUUAGAUUAAAACAAAAACAAGUUUAUUAACUACAAAAGAUCGAUUUUAAGUGGUUAUAAAGGAUAGCAAACAGAUCAAAGUAGAUUACCUAGGAAAUAAAAAAAACACAAACUAAGUUUAAUAUACUAGAUAGAUAGGAUAUGAAUUGGCAGAUUCUCACACUAAGAGAUUAUAUAAGCAGGCUGCAGAUUCUUAAGGGGCAUGCUUCACUUGCCUUACAGCUUGGAAUCCCCAGGUGUUUUGUACACAGGCU